CGGGCGGCGGGGCUUGUCCAACAUCCCUCACCUCCCUCAGUUGGACAUUUCCCUUCCACGCUCGGAUGCCCAGCCGCGCCUGUUUUCUUGCAUCCCUCCUGUCGUGUCUGCGGGGCUGCCCUGAAGGCCUCUUUCCCUCCAGGGAAGAAAGGGAUCCAAAGCUAGGGGUGAAAAUAGGGCCAGCAGUAUCUAGCAGACUGGUCCUGGCCAGGAGAAGGGGUUAAGGGAGCCACUCAUUCUUCGCCUGGGUACACUUCAAAGAGGGGAACCAGAUCCUACGGGAAGCUAGGUGCCAGAACUCCUGCCUUUCCAAGACGAGCUCAUCCCCAUCAUCACCAUACCCAGGAAUACUUGUUCAUAGCCAGCUCAGAGGUGCACCAUACUUUAGCUUCCCACGGCCUUCACUCGUUUUCUCCUGUGGGUGAAUUCUAACUAGGCUCGCCUGUCACCAAAGAUGGAAACAGAGAAUAGAUCCUGAACACCAGGAAGAUGGUGACAAGGUGAUAGAGAAACAGAUGGCACAUUCAAACAAGGUAAGUGGGGAGAGUUCACAAGGGGCGAUUUACACAAAGUGGACAGGGUUAAGGAAAUGCAACACGGAGUGGUGCAGAAUCCCAUGGCUAGCAAAAUUUAGAAGCUAUUCUCACCCCUAGGAGCAGGCC
rnacentral:lncRNA from 1 species